CUACGUGCCAGCAGCCGCGGUAAUACGUAGGUCCCGAGCGUUGUCCGGAUUUAUUGGGCGUAAAGCGAGCGCAGGCGGUUAGAUAAGUCUGAAGUUAAAGGCUGUGGCUUAACCAUAGUACGCUUUGGAAACUGUUUAACUUGAGUGCAAGAGGGGAGAGUGGAAUUCCAUGUGUAGCGGUGAAAUGCGUAGAUAUAUGGAGGAACACCGGUGGCGAAAGCGGCUCUCUGGCUUGUAACUGACGCUGAGGCUCGAAAGCGUGGGGAGCAAACAGGAUUAGAUACCCUGGUAGUCCACGCUGUAAACGAUGUCGACUUGGAGGUUGUUCCCUUGAGGAGUGGCUUCCGGAGCUAACGCGUUAAGUCGACCGCCUGGGGAGUACGGCCGCAAGGUUAAAACUCAAAUGAAUUGACGGGGGCCCGCACAAGCGGUGGAGCAUGUGGUUUAAUUCGAUGCAACGCGAAGAACCUUACCUACUCUUGACAUCC
rnacentral:rRNA from 1 species